AGGGAUGUUUAUGCCAGAGUCAGGAAGAUCUUUUUCAUCUUAGCUCCCAUUCCACCACUUUCUACUCAAAUUGUUUACCUAAUUCUUAACCAGGCUCUCCUUACCUUCCGUACUUUAUCACAUGGGAGGCACAUGGGACUUCAGUCAAGUCCAACUCUGAAAACCUUAGAAAAAGUUGAAGAUGUAUGUAUGAAGCAGUCCAAUACAGCCAGUGUAAAUCAGUGUCAUUCCCUCCAAACAAGCAGAGCUACACUGAUUUACACCAGCUGAGGCACCAGCUGAAGACGAUCAUAAAUUUUAUGGUGGUUUUUGACUUCGGACUUCCUCCUUCUUCAAGGAUAUGUGUGAUGAGUGCUACUCCUUUUCAUAAGCUGUGUGGGAAGUCCUUUGAAUGGUGGUCACCAGACACAAAGACAUGAGGGAGUACUGGCAGAGUCUUGGCUGCUUGGUGUCAAGCCUGAGAAACCCUGUGAGAAAUAAGAACUCUGCAGAAACUUCUACUCCAUUUCUCCUAUAUGUUGUCUUCCUGCUUUUCUCCUGAGAAUGCAAUGGAAGGAAUGAUAAGACAUUAUGCUGGCUCUUAAGGCUGGAAACUGCUGUGAGAAGUGGAAAGAGAAAGUAAGCCCAGAAGAAGACAAGAGAGAUGUAAUGUAAAGGCUGGACUACAGUCACCCUCUACCCAAUAUUUUUCAGGUGUAAAAAAAUUUGCUAAGCAGUGUAAUAGCACAUUAAGGAAGUGGGCAUACAACAUCUUUUUCUGAGGAGGAAUUUAACUUAAAAAUCUUGAUCUCCCAUACUAUCUCCUAUAAAUCUAAUAAUAAUUUUUCUAUUAGUUUUCUCCCUCUUCUCCCUUAGACUCUUCUGAAAGUGUUCUUGCAUGUAGUACUGUAGCUGGGACACUGGAAGCAGCCUGUAUUAGUCAAGCACAAUUUAAUAUUCCCUGCUGGCACAAAUGAAGGGUUAACACAAAGGUGCAAAUGAAUGCAGAUGCUCUUUAGGCUGUGUUGCAAUACCAGUUCCAGAAGAGUUAUAUGUACUCAUACAUCAUGAAUUUAAAACUGUGAAAAAGCCAUCUCUCCAAUAUCUAGAAAGUCCUCCUUCCUUUUGGGAAGUUUCUAGCCCUUAAGCUUCUUUCUGCAAGGAUAAUCAUAUGUAUUGAGUACACCCUAUGCAGUCAAGAACUUGGAAUAUUUUUACAAAGACCCUAAAUCUUUUUUAAAAUGAAAAACCUAGGAAAAAAUCUCAGUCCGAGUAUCAGUGGCUUUUGAAUGCUUUAGACAUGACUACACAGCUCACUAUCUGGAAAAUAAUAGCUGCCUUUUCAUUUUUUUUAACUGAAAAUUGUAUUUCUAAAAGAUAUGCUUUUGCUGAGUUUUAUUUUAUGAUGAGUAAAGCAUCAUCUUCCAAUGAAAAUGCUCAGAUGUUGUGCAAGAAUGCUCAAAGAAAAUAAAUUUUUUGAGUUAGUAUGACUUUUUUUGUGCAUGUAUUUGGAAAUACUGGUAGAAAAUCAAAUGCAAUUUUUAAUUUCUCCCAUACUUUCCAUGAGAAAGCAGAUUUUUCUAAU